rnacentral:tRNA from 5 species
GCGGAAAUAGCUCAGUUGGUAGAGCACAACCUUGCCAAGGUUGGGGUCGCGGGUCCGAGUCCCGUUUUCCGCUCUA